UACGUAGGGGGCAAGCGUUGUCCGGAAUCAUUGGGCGUAAAGCGCGUGUAGGCGGCUGAGUAAGUCUGCUCUGAAAGCCCGGGGCUCAACCCCGGGAGGCGGGUGGAUACUGCUCAGCUCGAGUCCGGAAGAGGAGUGUGGAAUUCCUGGUGUAGCGGUGAAAUGCGCAGGUAUCAGGAGGAACACCAAUGGCGAAGGCAGCACUCUGGGACGGUACUGACGCUGAGACGCGAAAGCGUGGGGAGCAAACAGG
rnacentral:rRNA from 1 species